UAGCCGACCUGAGAGGGUGAUCGGCCACACUGGAACUGAGACACGGUCCAGACUCCUACGGGAGGCAGCAGUAGGGAAUCUUCCGCAAUGGGCGAAAGCCUGACGGAGCAACGCCGCGUGAAUGAUGAAGGUCUUCGGAUCGUAAAACUCUGUUAUUAGGGAAGAACAAAUGUGUAAGUAACUAUGCACGUCUUGACGGUACCUAAUCAGAAAGCCACGGCUAACUACGUGCCAGCAGCCGCG
rnacentral:rRNA from 1 species